GCCGAAAUAGCUCAGUUGGGAGAGCGUUAGACUGAAGAUCUAAAGGUCCCUGGUUCGAUCUCGUGUUUCGGCA